CCCUUAGACGUUCUGGGCCGCACGCGCGCUACACUGACCAGUGCAACAAGCAUCCGUCCUUGGCCGACAGGCUCGGGCAAUCUUUGAACGCUGUUCGUGACUGGGAUAGACCUUUGCAAUUAUGGGUCUUCAACGAGGAAUUCCUAGUAAACGCAAGUCAUCAGCUUGCAUUGAUUACGUCCCUGCCCUUUGUACACACCGCCCGUCGCACCUACCGAUUGAAUGGUCCGGUGAAAUCUCGGGACGGCGGCUUGGUCGCUUGCGUCCGACUGCUGAAACUUGAUUAAACCAUAUCAUUUAGAGGAAGGUGAAGUCGUAACA
rnacentral:rRNA from 1 species